CACCGGGGGAGCAGGAGCCCCUGGAGUCCGUGGGAGGGACCCAGUGGGAGAAGUUCGUAGAGGACUGUCUCCCGUGGGAGGGAGCCCAGGCUGGAGCCGGGGAGGAGCGUGAGGAGUCCUGCCUCGAGGAGGAAGGAGCAGCAGAAAAAGGGGUGAUGGACUGAGCGCACCCCCAUCCCUGCCCCGCUGCAGGGGAGGAGGGAGAGAACUUGGGAGUGAAGCUGAGCCCGAGAAGAAGGGAGGGGUGGGGGAAAAGUGUUUCAAAAUUGAGCUUUUAUUUCUCGUUAUCCUCCUCUGAUUUGACUGGUAAUAAAUUGAUUUCCCCAAGUCGAGUCUGUUUUGCCUGCGAUGGUGGCUGGUGAAUGAUCUCUCCCUGUCCUCAUCUCCACUCACCAGCCUUUGGUGGCAUUUUUCUGCCUCUGCCCAGCUGAGGAGGGCAGUGACAGAGCAGCUCUGGGGGCACUCAGCGUCCAGCAAGGGUCAGCACACCACAAUGACUGAUGCUGUCUUCCUGUGUUAGUUCUCGUAAGUCUCAUAAACUGAAAAUGAUGUUUAUCUGUAAGAGUCUGCAGUAAGCAGUCUCAUGAAUACAACUUUAUAAAUGGUUUCUCUAGCAGCCAAGAGGAGGAACUUACUUUUUAUUAAAGGAAGUAAUCUGAGAGCAAUUCUCACAGCCAACCUUCUAAUGGAAAUCAAUUCUCAGUUCAGACAAUUCCACUUUUCUCUGUUUCAGGGUGGCAAAAUAACACACAAGCCAGACUCGCUUCUUGAUGAACUUCUCAAAUUUGAACACUCAUACUGAUAAAAUAAAUCUCUUCUCACUCCUUUGUCUCAGGGAACACACUGCCUACCCAAGUUAUCAAGAUCUCUUCCCUCGUUUGCCAAAAUGCUACUCCAGUUCCAACUCAGCUGUGACGUUUAUAAAGAAAUUCAUGUAGGUAAAGAGUAAUAAUUAAACCCAAGGAAGAGGAACUAGAAGGCUGUUGAUAUAGUUUCACUAAAAAGCUUUGAUAAUCUCAACUUGGAAUAAUUCCAAGAAAUGGUUUCAGCCCCUUUCUCCUUGCAAGUCACUUAAGGCUGUGCUCACUCUCCCCUGAGAGCACUGAAUAUUGCAACCACAGGCAGCACAAGAGCUGUCCCAACCUAGAAUCUAAUGUGAUUACACAUCAAAAAAC